rnacentral:tRNA from 1 species
GCGGUGGUAGCUCAGCUGGUUAGAGCGUCGCCCUGUCACGGCGAAGGCCGAGGGUUCAAAUCCCUUCCACCGCGCAA